UACAGGGUGACAGCCCCGUACACAAAAGCGCAUGUGCUGUGAGCUCGAUGAGUAGGGCGGGACACGUGGUAUCCUGUCUGAAUAUGGGGGGACCAUCCUCCAAGGCUAAAUACUCCUGACUGACCGAUAGUGAACCAGUACCGUGAGGGAAAGGCGAAAAGAACCCCGGCGAGGGGAGUGAAAAAGAACCUGAAACCGUGUACGUACAAGCAGUGGGAGCCCCACCACCAAAGCAUUUGCUGUACCGCGUUGACGGAGCGAAGCGACGUCAAACCGAUAAAACAGCAGUGUAAAGUGAGCCGCAGGGCGCUUUGCGCGACAGCGCAAAGGCAGGCGGUUUCGCGUAGCGAAAGCGAAUGCUUUGGGGUGGGGUGACUGCGUACCUUUUGUAUAAUGGGUCAGCGACUUAUAUUCUGUAGCAAGGUUAACCGAAUAGGGGAGCCGGAGGGAAACCGAGUCUUAAUUGGGCGUUAAGUUGCAGGGUAUAGACCCGAAACCCGGUGAUCUAGCCAUGGGCAGGUUGAAGGUUGGGUAACACUAACUGGAGGACCGAACCGACUAAUGUUGAAAAAUUAGCGGAUGACCUGUGGCUGGGGGUGAAAGGCCAAUCAAACCGGGAGAUAGCUGGUUCUCCCCGAAAGCUAUUUAGGUAGCGCCUCGUGAAUUCAUCUCCGGGGGUAGAGCACUGUUUCGGCUAGGGGGCCAUCCCGGCUUACCAACCCGAUGCAAACUGCGAAUACCGGAGAAUGUUAUCACGGGAGACACACGGCGGGUGCUAACGUCCGUCGUGAAGAGGGAAACAACCCAGACCGCCAGCUAAGGUCCCAAAGUCAUGGUUAAGUGGGAAACGAUGUGGGAAGGCCCAGACAGCCAGGAUGUUGGCUUAGAAGCAGCCAUCAUUUAAAGAAAGCGUAAUAGCUCACUGGUCGAGUCGGCCUGCGCGGAAGAUGUAACGGGGCUAAACCAUGCACCGAAGCUGCGGCAGCGACACUGUGUGUUGUUGGGUAGGGGAGCGUUCUGUAAGCCUGUGAAGGUGUGUCGUGAGGCAUGCUGGAGGUAUCAGAAGUGCGAAUGCUGACAUAAGUAACGAUAAAGCGGGUGAAAAGCCCGCUCGCCGGAAGACCAAGGGUUCCUGUCCAACGUUAAUCGGGGCAGGGUGAGUCGACCCCUAAGGCGAGGCCGAAAGGCGUAGUCGAUGGGAAACGGGUUAAUAUUCCCGUACUUGGUGUUACUGCGAAGGGGGGACGGAGAAGGCUAUGUUGGCCGGGCGACGGUUGUCCCGGUUUAAGCGUGUAGGUGUGUGUUCCAGGUAAAUCCGGUUCACUUUAACACUGAGGCGUGACGACGAGGCACUACGGUGCUGAAGCAACAAAUGCCCUGCUUCCAGGAAAAGCCUCUAAGCAUCAGGUAACAUCAAAUCGUACCCCAAACCGACACAGGUGGUCAGGUAGAGAAUACCAAGGCGCUUGAGAGAACUCGGGUGAAGGAACUAGGCAAAAUGGUGCCGUAACUUCGGGAGAAGGCACGCUGACACGUAGGUGAAGUGAUUUACUCAUGGAGCUGAAGUCAGUCGAAGAUACCAGCUGGCUGCAACUGUUUAUUAAAAACACAGCACUGUGCAAACACGAAAGUGGACGUAUACGGUGUGACGCCUGCCCGGUGCCGGAAGGUUAAUUGAUGGGGUCAGCGCAAGCGAAGCUCCUGAUCGAAGCCCCGGUAAACGGCGGCCGUAACUAUAACGGUCCUAAGGUAGCGAAAUUCCUUGUCGGGUAAGUUCCGACCUGCACGAAUGGCGUAAUGAUGGCCAGGCUGUCUCCACCCGAGACUCAGUGAAAUUGAACUCGCUGUGAAGAUGCAGUGUACCCGCGGCAAGACGGAAAGACCCCGUGAACCUUUACUAUAGCUUGACACUGAACAUUGAGCCUUGAUGUGUAGGAUAGGUGGGAGGCUUUGAAGUGUGGACGCCAGUCUGCAUGGAGCCGACCUUGAAAUACCACCCUUUAAUGUUUGAUGUUCUAACGUGGACCCGUUACCCGGGUUGCGGACAGUGUCUGGUGGGUAGUUUGACUGGGGCGGUCUCCUCCUAAAGAGUAACGGAGGAGCACGAAGGUUGGCUAAUCCUGGUCGGACAUCAGGAGGUUAGUGCAAUGGCAUAAGCCAGCUUGACUGCGAGCGUGACGGCGCGAGCAGGUGCGAAAGCAGGUCAUAGUGAUCCGGUGGUUCUGAAUGGAAGGGCCAUCGCUCAACGGAUAAAAGGUACUCCGGGGAUAACAGGCUGAUACCGCCCAAGAGUUCAUAUCGACGGCGGUGUUUGGCACCUCGAUGUCGGCUCAUCACAUCCUGGGGCUGAAGUAGGUCCCAAGGGUAUGGCUGUUCGCCAUUUAAAGUGGUACGCGAGCUGGGUUUAGAACGUCGUGAGACAGUUCGGUCCCUAUCUGCCGUGGGCGCUGGAGAACUGAGGGGGGCUGCUCCUAGUACGAGAGGACCGGAGUGGACGCAUCACUGGUGUUCGGGUUGUCAUGCCAAUGGCACUGCCCGGUAGCUAAAUGCGGAAGAGAUAAGUGCUGAAAGCAUCUAAGCACGAAACUUGCCCCGAGAUGAGUUCUCCCUGAGACUUA
rnacentral:rRNA from 1 species